GACGAACGCUGGCGGCGUGCUUAACACAUGCAAGUCGAACGAUGAACCCGGAUCUUUCUCUGGGGGGUUAGUGGCGAACGGGUGAGUAACACGUGAGUAACCUGCCCUUGACUCUGGGAUAAGCCUAGUAAACGACGUCUAAUACCGGAUAGGACCUUAGAUCGCAUGAUCUGGGGUGGAAAGUUUUUUCGGUCGGGGAUGGACUCGCGGCCUUUCAGCUUGUUGGUGAGUUAGUGGAUCACCACGGCAUCGACGGGUAGCCGGCCUGAGGGGGUGACCGGCCAGACUGGGACUGAGACACGGGCCAGACUCCUGCGGGAGGCAGCAAUGGGGGAUAGUGCGCAAUGGGCGAACGGCUGAUGCAGCAACGCCGCGCGCGGGAUGAAGGCCUUCGGGUUGUGAACAGCUUUUAUUAGGGUAGAAGGGCUUCGGCUUGACGGUACCUGCAGAAAAAGGACCGGCUAACUACGUG
rnacentral:rRNA from 1 species